UACGGAGGGAGCUAGCGUUGUUCGGAUAUACUGGGCGUAAAGCGCACGUAGGCGGCGCAGCAAGUCAGGGGUGAAAUCCCGGAGCUCAACUCCGGAACUGCCUUUGAAACUGCAGUGCUAGAAUCCUGGAGAGGCGAGUGGAAUUCCGAGUGUAGAGGUGAAAUUCGUAGAUAUUCGGAAGAACACCAGUGGCGAAGGCGACUCGCUGGACAGGUAUUGACGCUGAGGUGCGAAAAGCGUGGGGG
rnacentral:rRNA from 1 species